rnacentral:tRNA from 1 species
UAGGAGUUAGUUUAUUUAGAAUUGUUGAUUGUUGCUCAAAAGGUUUAUUCCUAA